UACGUAGGUGGCAAGCGUUAUCCGGAUUUACUGGGUGCAAAGGGCGUGUAGGCGGGAUGGUAAGUCAGAUGUGAAAACUAUGGGCUCAACCCAUAGCCUGCAUUUGAAACUAUCGUUCUUGAGUGUUGGAGAGGCAGGCGGAAUUCCGUGUGUAGCGGUGAAAUGCGUAGAUAUUAGGAGGAACACCAGUGGCGAAGGCGGCCUGCUGGACGAUGACUGACGUUGAGGCUCGAAAGCAUGGGUAGCGAACAGG
rnacentral:rRNA from 1 species